rnacentral:lncRNA from 13 species
GCCUUUUGACUUGAGACGGGGUUUCACCAUAUUGGUCAGGCUGGUCUUACCAUAUUGGUCAAGCUGAUCUCGAACCCCUGACCUCGUGAUCCGCCCGCCACGGCCUCCCAAAGUGCUGGAAUUACAGGCGUGAGCCACCGCGCCAAGCCCCUGGUUUCUUUACAAGAGAAGAUUGAAUCUAGACACACAGACUGAGGGGCCACCCAGGUGAAGACACGGCAAGAAGGCGCCACCUACCGGCCAAGAAGAACCGCCUCACCGGAAGCAACGCUGCUGGCACCUUAAUCUAGGACUUCCGAGCCUCCAAAACUCUUCAGGAAUAUCUGU